UACGGAGGGUGCAAGCGUUAUCCGGAUUCACUGGGUUUAAAGGGUGCGUAGGUGGGCAGGUAAGUCCGUGGUGAAAUCUCCAAGCUUAACUUGGAAACUGCCGUGGAUACUAUCUGUCUUGAAUACCGUGGAGGUGAGCGGAAUAUGUCAUGUAGCGGUGAAAUGCUUAGAUAUGACAUAGAACACCAAUUGCGAAGGCAGCUCACUACACGCUUAUUGACACUGAGGCACGAAAGCGUGGGGGAGCAAACAGG
rnacentral:rRNA from 1 species